UUCGAGCCCGUUAAUGGGUGAGAGCGUGCCUUUUGUAGAAUGAACCGGCGAGUUACGUUAUGAUGCGAGGUUAAGUUGAAGAGACGGAGCCGUAGGGAAACCGAGUCUGAAUAGGGCGACUUAGUAUCAUGAUGUAGACCCGAAACCUAGUGACCUAUCCAUGAGCAGGGUGAAGGUGUGGUAAGACGCACUGGAGGCCCGAACCAGGACACGUUGAAAAGUGUUUGGAUGACUUGUGGAUAGCGGAGAAAUUCCAAACGAACUGGGAGAUAGCUGGUUCUCUCCGAAAUAGCUUUAGGGCUAGCGUCGAAAUGUAAGUGUAUUGGAGGUAGAGCACUGUUUGGGUGAGGGGUCCGUCUAGGAUUACCAAUCUCAGAUAAACUCCGAAUGCUAAUACACAUGUUCGGCAGUCAGACUGCGAGUGCUAAGAUCCGUAGUCGAAAGGGAAACAGCCCAGACCAACAGCUAAGGUCCCAAAAUAUAUGUUAAGUGGAAAAGGAUGUGGGGUUGCACAGACAACUAGGAUGUUAGCUCAGAAGCAGCUAUCAUUCAAAGAGUGCGUAAUAGCUCACUAGUCGAGUGACCCUGCGCCGAAAAUGUACCGGGGCUAAACAUAUUACCGAAGCUUUGGAUUGAUAUUUUAUCAAUGGUAGGAGAGCGUUCUUAACCGCGAUGAAGGUAUACCGUGAGGAGUGCUGGAGCGUUAAGAAGUGAGAAUGCCGGUAUGAGUAGCGCAAGAUAAGUGAGAAUCUUAUCCACCGUAAGACUAAGGUUUCCAGGGGAAGGCUCGUCCGCCCUGGGUUAGUCGGGACCUAAGGCGAGGCCGAAAGGCGUAGUCGAUGGACAACUGGUUGAUAUUCCAGUACUAGAUAUGAUCGUGAUGGAG
rnacentral:rRNA from 1 species